rnacentral:rRNA from 1 species
GUAGGUGGCAAGCGUUGUCCGGAAUUAUUGGGCGUAAAGCGCGCGCAGGCGGUCCUUUAAGUCUGAUGUGAAAGCCCACGGCUCAACCGUGGAGGGUCAUUGGAAACUGGGGGACUUGAGUACAGAAGAGGAAAGCGGAAUUCCAAGUGUAGCGGUGAAAUGCGUAGAGAUUUGGAGGAACACCAGUGGCGAAGGCGGCUUUCUGGUCUGUAACUGACGCUGAGGCGCGAAAGCGUGGGGAGCAAACAGGAUUAGAUACCCUGGUAGUCCACGCCGUAAACGACGAGUGCUAAGUGUUAGGGGGUUUCCCGCCCCCUUAGUGCUGCAGCUAACGCAUUAAGCACUCCGCCUGGGGAGUACGGCCGCAAGGCUG